GAAGAAACGCCAAACUAGUCCUAACAGCUGUUCAGGUACUGCAUCUGGAGCCGCAGGCUCGGGCGCUCCCGCAGCUCCUGCAGCACUCGGGAGUCGCCAGCGCCGCGGCCGCCCAGGAAUGCGUCGGAACCCGAGGUCUCGGUGGAGCUGUCCAGGCUGUCCCUUCGCAGGGGGCGGCCCUGGGACGCACGGUCCCCGCCGGCUGCCACCUCCUCCUCCUCGGUGCAGCUGUAGAGCUCGGUGAGCAACCCGCUCACUAGGGACGCCGUGCGGCUCGUGCGGCCGUCGGGCUGCGGCUCCAAGUCGCCCUCGUCCGCCGGGUGCCCCGCCGCCUCCUCGGAUUGCUGCGGGUCCCACGUCCUGCCCGCUGGAAGGACCUCCAUGGCUCGAACCGCCGCGGCGCCCGCCAGUUCCGGGAGGGCGCGGCCACGCGGGCAGCAAAGAGUCCCCAGCAGGGGUCGAAAUGCCAACCAAUGGGCGGAGGACCGGAGUUCCGGCUUCACGUCCGCGGGCGCCGCGCCCGAAUCCUUCCCACCUGACCCGGAGCGUCCAGGAGACUCCACAAAAACCUGACUAUCUGGCAAGUCCUGGGAUUUGAGUGACGUUGUGAACUUUUUUCCUCCAAUAAAAGACCUGGAU
rnacentral:lncRNA from 1 species